rnacentral:rRNA from 1 species
AGCUAUGGUCUAAAUACUGUAAAAGCACUAGAUUUCAUCUGGUCUAGAAAGCUAAACUGGUCAGUCCUGGUUAGUACUAGGAUGAGAGACCACAAAGAGAUACCAGGUGCUGGAGGUU